GACGAACGCUGGCGGCGUGCUUAACACAUGCAAGUCGAACGGAAAGGCCCUGCUUUUGUGGGGUGCUCGAGUGGCGACCGGGUGAGUAACACGUGAGUAACCUGCCCUUGACUUUGGGAUAACUUCAGGAAACUGGGGCUAAUAUCGGAUAGGAGCUCCUGCUGCAUGGUGGGGGUUGGAAAGUUUCGGCGGUUGGGGAUGGACUCGCGGCUUAUCAGCUUGUUGGUGGGGUAGUGGCUUACCAAGGCUUUGACGGGUAGCCGGCCUGAGAGGGGGACCGGCCACAUUGGGACUGAGAUACGGCCCAGACUCCUACGGGAGGCAGCAGUGGGGAAUAUUGCACAAUGGGCGGAAGCCUGAUGCAGCAACGCCGCGUGCGGGAUGACGGCCUUCGGGUUGUAAACCGCUUUCGCCUGUGACGAAGCGUGAGUGACGGUAAUGGGUAAAGAAGCACCGGCUAACUACGUG
rnacentral:rRNA from 1 species